rnacentral:sRNA from 1 species
ACCGCGCCUAGCCCGACGGGGCGAAAGCAGGGCUCCCUUACCCUGCUGUCGCGUUUCAUUUUAGGGG